rfam:Anopheles minimus strain MINIMTS1 unplaced genomic scaffold supercont1.8, whole genome shotgun sequence.
UUAUAAUGAUGACCGCUAUGCUAAUAUUGAGGAAACUUUAGGUUUUCGCUGAGUAAAACACAAUUGAACUUCUCACAAUAAAAACUGAAUUAU